rnacentral:rRNA from 1 species
AUUGAACGCUGGCGGCAGGCUUAACACAUGCAAGUCGAACGAGUGGCGGACGGGUGAGUAAUGUAUGGGAACGUGCCCGAUGGAGGGGGAUAACUACUGGAAAGAGUAGCUAAUACCGCAUACCAUCAGAUGGGCCCAGAUGGGAUUAGCUAGUUGGUGGGGUAACGGCUCACCAAGGCGACGAUCCGUAGCUGGUCUGAGAGGAUGACCAGCCACACUGGGACUGAGACACGGUCCAGACUCCUACGGGAGGCAGCAGUGGGGAAUAUUGCACAAUGGGCGCAAGCCUGAUGCAGCCAUGCCGCGUGUAUGAAGAAGGCCUUCGGGUUGUAAAGUACUUUCAGCAGGGAGGCGUUAUCCGCAGAAUAAGCACCGGCUAACUCCGUGCCAGCAGCCGCGGUAAUAC